rnacentral:rRNA from 1 species
AUUGAACGCUGGCGGUAUGCUUAAUACAUGCAAGUCGAACGGUAAGGUCUCUUCGGAGAUACACGAGUGGCGCACGGGUGCGUAACGCGUAUGCAACCUACCUUUAACUGGGAAAUAGCCCCGAGAAAUCGGGAUUAAUGUCCCAUACUAUUCUGAGGAUACCUAUCCUUAGAAUGAAAGCUCCGGCGGUUAUUGAUGGGCAUGCGUGACAUUAGCUAGUUGGUGAGGUAACGGCUCACCAAGGCUACGAUGUCUAGGGGUCCUGAGAGGGUUAACCCCCACACUGGUACUGAGACACGGACCAGACUCCUACGGGAGGCAG